UACGUAGGGGGCAAGCGUUGUCCGGAAUUAUUGGGCGUAAAGAGCGCGUAGGCGGUCCGUUAAGUCGGCUGUGAAAGUCAGGGGCUCAACCCUUGAAAGCCGGCCGAUACUGUCGGACUAGAGUCCGGAAGAGGCGAGUGGAAUUCCCGGUGUAGCGGUGAAAUGCGCAGAUAUCGGGAGGAACACCAAUGGCGAAGGCAGCUCGCUGGGACGGUACUGACGCUGAGGCGCGAAAGCGUGGGGAGCGAACAGG
rnacentral:rRNA from 1 species